UUUUGUUUAUUUUGUGUGUUUAAGUGACUUUUUGUGACUUGUUUUUGUUUCUGUGUAUUGUCCUUGUGUGCGUUUUUGAUUGUGAACGUUUUCCGUUUAGUUAAUGCCGUCCUACUAACUCAACAAGUCCUACAAGAAGAGAAAGCAAUUUCUUUUUUUUUUUCUUAAGUUUUAUUUCUUUCUUACAUUUUAUAAUAAUACAUACCUACUUGCUUCUCAUAUCACUUGUCAGUGGCAGAAUCGUCGACACCAACAUCGACGGCAUUGAUUGCCAGAAACAAAAAAUAGAAUAGAAUAGUUU
rnacentral:misc_RNA from 1 species